rnacentral:sRNA from 1 species
UGUUUUAGCGGCCACAGUCUUGCGGGG